AGAGAAAUAGCUCAGUGGUAGAGCCCAUGCUUAGCAUGCAUGAGUUCUGGCUUCAAUCCCCAAUACCUCCC
rnacentral:tRNA from 1 species